UCCCUCUCUCUCUCAGUUUCUUUGUGCAUCUCUUCCUCAUCGAACACAUUGGAGCUUUGAUUCUUCAGCUCUGAGAGAAACAAAUCUCACCAUAGAUGGAUAACUCUCUCUUCUUCCUAAUCUGUCUAUAGCCUUUUCUUUUUGCCAUAUCUAUAUGCUCUAUGCAGAUCAUAAUGUGACCGUGGCUUUCUCCUAUAUGGUCUUCCCGUUGUCUCUCCCCAAACCUCCAACCUAGCCACUGUCCCUAGAGCCUCCGACCCCCUACAUGAUGCCAUUGUCGCGAACGACGAGUUGUGCGUCGCGCCCUUCAUCAAUGGCGGAGUCUCUGGUAUGCUCGCUACCUCUGUCAUCCAACCCAUCGAUACGAUCAAGUGCUGAGAAGGCUGGGAGUGAAGAGCAUGGAGAUAAAGAAACCAAAGCAGUUUGAAACCGUGGCCUCACUCAUAAUCCCUGGAGGAGAGAGCACCACCAUGGCUAAGCUCGCCAAGUACCACAACUUGAAUGCAUUUGAGCUCACCUUCUUCAUUUGGGUUCCAGCCCAAUUCUAAGUAAAAUUGUGCUACCGCGAGCACACCGUGAUCAUUGUUACGAGAUUUUUCUUAGCGGUGACCACCAAGUCCUCUGCAGCUACAUUACUCUUUCUUGUAACACAGAGUAUGAUGCUGAUGAUAAACCCCAAGAAGAAACUGUCAACCCUAUGGUCGAUGGUGGGACUGAAGGUUUUCAAGGACAUGCCAGGGUCAUUAUGCCAGGGAUCAGUCCAUGCAUGCUUUGAGUGUACAAUCUGGCUUUUCCCCCCUCAAGUGAAGUUCCCUUUAUGCACACUUGCAGAAAUCCCUAGAACUGCUGCUCAUUGUAUUGAAUAUGCUCACCUAAUUAAAUGGGAUGAGGUACAUAGCGGAGAGGCUUUUGAUCUAGAUGACCCUGAACAUAUAAAGUGGGUGUAUGAUGAGGCUAACAAGAGAGCUGAGCUGUUUGGUAUUCAAGAGUUACAUUGUCUCUCACUCAGGUUGCUUCUAAUGAAAGACCUCUUGUGAUUGAAGAUAUUGGGAAUCAGAUUAAGCAACUGCAAACCUAGAAGGUGCAGUAGAUUGAAUUACUUAACUAGAAUUAUUGAAUUGUAAUUUGUUACACUUCUUUCUUAAAGAUUCUAUAUUUAUGGCAAUCAUUUUGCAUGCUAGCUGCAUUUUUGACAUUUGUUGUCAACUGAUUAUAGAGUACGGUAGCACAUGUGGAAGUCACCUAAAUUGUUUGUGCAGUUGGAUAUAAUUCAUGUAUAAGAUUAUGAUUUGCUCAGUUUUCUCAAGUAUAUCUGCACCAACUCCAAGACAGGUGCAUCUUUUACUUCCUGCUAAUUCUACUCAAUUCACCAGCAGUUCUGACCAAACUGCAGGAUAAGUGGUAAAUCAGAAAGGUCAUAUCUUGAGGUAGAGAUCAUCCCUGUGUUUAUUGCAUAUAUGUGCAUUAUAUUAUGGUUUUAUAUUAGUCUUUAUGGAGUAUGCAGUAAUCCUUAGAUUGCAGCAGGACUAAGAGAAGCUACUGCUACUUAAGUGGCAUGUUCUAAGUCUAGCCUUGCAAGUUAUUAUCUUUGCUCUCUAGAGGUAUUUUCCCUUACAAAGUAGAUUUAUCUGUUAACGUUGACACUGGUGGCAGAGAGUUAGUACCUUAUGCUCAAUUCAAACAAAUGAAUAUCUACCUUACAUGUUCUGUUUUAAGCCAACACCCUUACAGAUCCUUCUUAGUGUGUACUAGUGCAUUCAUUAAAGCCUUAUAGAUCUUCCUCUAUUUGUUAUUUCAGGUCAAUUAUAUGUAUUGUUGUCUUUGAUUAGUUGUGCACAUGCUUACUGGGUUGCUUUUUUGUUUAAUGUAAUAUUCACUAAUGCUCAUCAUUUCAGUUUAAGGAAAAAGACACACUCAAGAAGAGGUUGAUGUCGUUCAAGUAGAGUGUGCAGAGCAGGUUGAUGGAUAUAUCCAAGAUGAACUAAAAUAGUUAGCAUAUGUAUAUGCAGUCUUACUUUUGGUAUGAAUCAAAUUAGUUAUAUAUAUUUGAAGCCUGCUUAGUGUAGCAGCAACUUUGAAUUAAAUUGGUCAAAACAGUAGAGUAGGAUAUUUUGGAUCUUUAUGCUCCUUUAAUGAGAUGGACUUAUGG